rnacentral:tRNA from 1 species
UGGGGUGUGGCUCAGUGGUAGAGCACUUGCUUGGGAUGUGAGAUACCCUAGGUUUGAGUCCCAGCACGCCAA